rnacentral:lncRNA from 1 species
UGUUAAGAGUAGGAAGAAGGAUGGGCCUUCUGAAGAUACGUCUGAAUUGCUCGUUAUCGAAACUAAUCUAACAAUUUUUUUUUCUUCUAGUUGGAUUUUAGAUUCUGGUUCAAGUGCUCAUUUGUGCACUUCAAUGCAGGAUCUUGAAGAAGUAAGGGGGCUGAGGGAAGGCAAGAUCACUCUUUGAGUCGGCAAUGGAGCAAAGAUUGCUGCUGUGACCGUC